UACGUAGGGUGCAAGCGUUAAUCGGAAUUACUGGGCGUAAAGGGUGCGCAGGCGGUUAAUUAAGUCAGAUGUGAAAUACCUGGGCUCAACCUGGGAGGUGCAUUUGAGACUGGUUAGCUAGAGUGUGUCAGAGGGGGGUAGAAUUCCACGUGUAGCAGUGAAAUGCGUAGAGAUGUGGAGGAAUACCGAUGGCGAAGGCAGCCCCCUGGGAUAACACUGACGCUCAGGCACGAAAGCGUGGGGAGCAAACAGG
rnacentral:rRNA from 1 species